UUGCUUGCAAGUAAUCUGAUUAAAUCCAUCGAAAUAUAUCUCACUACCCUCGUGUCAUGUCUCAAUUUAUGCAAAUUCAUUUAAGCUAAAUCGUGCAAGAAUCUUGUCAAAUAUAAACCAUAAAUCAUUUUUCUUGUUACAUUUAACUAAUCACACUCCCAAUUGAUGCAUGAAUUGCCUGAAGAAUUAUUUUCUUGGCAUGCCAAGUAGAUGCCUAAAACUAGA
rnacentral:lncRNA from 1 species